rnacentral:rRNA from 1 species
AGGGAGCUUGCUCCCUGAUAUUAGCGGCGGACGGGUGAGUAACACGUGGGCAACCUGCCCUGCAGAUGGGGAUAACUCCGGGAAACCGGGGCUAAUACCGAAUAAUCGGUUCUUCCGCAUGGAAGAACUCUGAAAGACGGUUUCGGCUGUCACUGCAGGAUGGGCCCGCGGCGCAUUAGCUAGUUGGUGGGGUAACGGCCUACCAAGGCGACGAUGCGUAGCCGACCUGAGAGGGUGAUCGGCCACACUGGGACUGAGACACGGCCCAGACUCCUACGGGAGGCAGCAGUAGGGAAUCUUCCACAAUGGACGAAAGUCUGAUGGAGCAACGCCGCGUGAGCGAAGAAGGUUUUCGGAUCGUAAAGCUCUGUUGCGAGGGAAGAACAAGUACGAGAGUAACUGCUCGUACCUUGACGGUACCUCGUUAGAAAGCCACGGCUAACUACGUGCCAGCAGCCGCGGUAAUACGUAGGUGGCAAGCGUUGUCCGGAAUUAUUGGGCGUAAAGCGCGCGCAGGCGGUCCUUUAAGUCUGAUGUGAAAGCCCACGGCUCAACCGUGGAGGGUCAUUGGAAACUGGAGGACUUGAGUACAGAAGAGGAAAGCGGAAUUCCACGUGUAGCGGUGAAAUGCGUAGAGAUGUGGAGGAACACCAGUGGCGA